rnacentral:rRNA from 1 species
AGAGUUUGAUCCUGGCUCAGGAUGAACGCUGGCGGUAGGUCUGACACAUGCAAGUCGAGCGACAAGCAGGUGCUUGCACCUGUGGAGGAGCGGCGAACGGCUGAGUAACACGUAGGAACCCACCCCAUGGCUCGGGAUAACGGAUCGAAAGAAUCGCUAAUACCGAAUAUAUCCUUCGGGAGGAAAGAUUUAUCACCAAGGGAGGGGCCUGCGGCGCAUUAGCUAGAUGGUGAGGUAACUGCUCACCAUGGCUAUGAUGCGUAGCUGGUCUGAGAGGACGAUCAGCCAGACUGGGACUGCGACACGGCCCAGACUCCUACGGGAGGCAGCAGUUCAGAAUAUUGCACAAUGGGCGAAAGCCUGAUGCAGCCAUACCGCGUGUGCGAAGAAGGCCCUCGGGUCGUAAAGCACUGUCAGGGGGGAAGAAGAUCUGACGUACCCCCAGAGAAGCCACGCUAAUU